rnacentral:rRNA from 1 species
CAGCAGCCGCGGUAAUACAGAGGGUGCGAGCGUUAAUCGGAUUUACUGGGCGUAAAGCGUGCGUAGGCGGCUUUUUAAGUCGGAUGUGAAAUCCCUGAGCUUAACUUAGGAAUUGCAUUCGAUACUGGGAAGCUAGAGUAUGGGAGAGGAUGGUAGAAUUCCAGGUGUAGCGGUGAAAUGCGUAGAGAUCUGGAGUAAUACCGAUGGCGAAGGCAGCCAUCUGGCCUAAUACUGACGCUGAGGUACGAAAGCAUGGGGAGCAAACAGGAUUAGAUACCCCUGUAGUCCCUGUCUCUUAUAC